GACAGAGGUGCCGAGCGUUAGGCGGAAUCACUGGGCUUAAAGCGUGUGUAGGCGGGUCGUUAAGUACCUUGUGAAAUCCCACGGCUCAACCGUGGAACUGCUGGGUAUACUGGUUGUCUUGAGCCAGCUAGGGGCGAGCGGAACAGACGGUGGAGCGGUGAAAUGCGUAGAUAUCGUCUGGAACGCCGAAGGUGAAAACAGCUCGCUGGGGCUGCGCUGACGCUGAGACACGAAAGCCAGGGGAGCGAACGGG
rnacentral:rRNA from 1 species